rnacentral:rRNA from 1 species
CUCAGGAUGAACGCUAGCGGGAGGCCUAACACAUGCAAGCCGAGCGGUAUUUCUUCUUCGGAAGAGAGAGAGCGGCGUACGGGUGCGGAACACGUGUGCAACCUGCCUUUAUCUGGGGGAUAGCCUUUCGAAAGGAAGAUUAAUACCCAUAAUAUAUUUGAUGGCAUCAUUAGAUAUUGAAAACUCCGGUGGAUAGAGAUGGGCACGCGCAAGAUUAGAUAGUUGGUGGGGUAACGGCCCACCAAGUCGAUGAUCUUUAGGGGGCCUGAGAGGGUGAUCCCCCACACUGGUACUGAGACACGGACCAGACUCCUACGGGAGGCAGCAGUGAGGAAUAUUGGACAAUGGGUGAGAGCCUGAUCCAGCCAUCCCGCGUGAAGGAAUAAGGUCCUAUGGAUUGUAAACUUCUUUUCUACAGGGAUAAACCUAUUUACGUGUAAAUAGCUGAAGGUACUGUAGGAAUAAGCACCGGCUAACUCCGUG